CAACCCUAGGAAUGUGUGCCAUUCACAUAGACUAAAAUUGAAUGGCGCCACUAGGGUUGUGC
rnacentral:pre_miRNA from 1 species